UGGUAUACUCCCCUCUCAUUCUACUAUAGCAGUUUACGCAGCACCACGUCACCUCAGUAAAUCCAGCCUGUUUACACAGUGUUUUCCACUGGAGAUGUUUCUUCUUGUAUUACACUGCGUUUCUCUGGUGAUAGCGCCAGUAUCCCUCCCUGUCCACAUAGGUUUCAUAAAGGGCUGCUCUCUUUGACACUGUUAUGUGUGUUGUGUAUCAUCUUGUCUAUGUUUCCUGCUCAGAUGUGAUUCUGUGAGAAUAGGAACACAUUAUGGCUCAUGAAGGGAGAUGUGUCUCUGGCUGUUGGGUUAUUUCUAUCCCCAUAACAGGAAGUACAACUGAACUCACGACCUUUAAGUCUCAGGUCAGGGGUCGUUAUCACCCAUGGAACAUUUUUGGCCUACAAACAUGAUGUGCAAUGUGAGUGUGUCAGGCUGUGACUGUAGCCUGUGUGUCUUUUAUACCACAGGUGGGUUUAAUCCUGAAUGCUGAUUGGUUAAAACAGCAUUCCAGCUGGUGUCUAUUCCACAUGUUACCACCGGCUAAAUCUAUGAUGUUAAAAUGUAUAUUUACUCUGAUCCAUCUGACUGUGCAAUCCAGUGCCCCGUCAGCCCAGCCAGGCAAUUUUAUAAACUUGAUCUCCGAUUCAAAAACAAACAAAAAAAAAAAAAGUAUCUAGACAUUAUUUCACAUUUCUGUCAAAAUCAUGAAUCAGCUGGCAUCGUUUUCUCGUAUAUAUGUGGACUGAUUCAGGAAACUAGGCGUAUGUCGCAAGUCACGAAUUCACAGGAGAGCCGUUUUGAACAUAAUUUUUUAAAAUCAAAAUGCGUUUCUGGCAGAAAUGCCUUCUCGAACAUUUGAACUUUCAUAUGCCUUAACAACAAACUUUUAUGCCAUCUGUAAAUACGAAUAAAGUUGAUAAAUUAAGAGCGUAGUUGGUUUAGCCAAAGAAAAAGCAGGAACGUUCCCGCUAGCCAUAAUUGUCCGAGAUAAUGAGUGGCUGGACAUGCCGAGAGAUGAGUUUCAGAUUGUUCUGCGGUGUAGCAUUUUUAUGUCUACAAAAUGAGCUGCUCAUUAUGCGUAGAUAAUCCUUUCUACUGCAUUUUUUUUCUAAAGAUAUAACGUUAGCCAUGGAGAACUGCAAAUAUGUUGCUACUGCUCUCAAUAACAUUGCUGCCCUGAAUUUAUCAAGCGCUAUCGACAAAGGUCAGUGUGAAAAAGUUGUGAUGGGCUUCUUUCUGGAGGACGAUCGUGCCAUGCUGACUCUCUCUGACUCUGAAAAUGAAUCAGACGAUGAGGAAAUAAAACAUUUUCAUUGAAGAAUACAUUGUAGAGUCUUCUGAUGACGGUGAUGGGGAAGAAACGGCGAUCAACAGUGUUGUCACGGAAGAAGUUGACAGAGUUUUGAAAUCAGUGGAACACAACAGGCCAAACAAACCGUGCAGACUAAACGGAAAUGACACAGGACGUCUUAUUUAAUGAAAGGGGUUGUAGUCUGCCGUGAAGCGUUCAUCCAUGUAUACGGUAGAACCAGCCUUACUCCUCUCCACCAGUCAUAUAAGGAGAACGGUCUAAUGCCUUCCAUCAAAAAGAGAGCUGGCCCAAGCAAGCAAAGGCAGCAGCGCAGGUAUCAACUACAUGCACCAUUUCUUCACCAACUAUGGAGUUGGGGAACCGUGUGUGGACCUGAAUUGUUAUAACUGCAGUGGUCAAUACCAGAACAAGUUUGUGCUCUGGUAUUGUGCCUGGUAUGCACAAGCUCCACCAGUCUGGACCUUCACUACCUGAUCACAGGCCACACCAAGUUUGCCCCCGACUGGUGCUUCGGCCUCAUCAAGCAGUGCUUCAGAAAGACCAAAGUGGACACAGCUAGACAAACUUAUUUUUUGGAGAAGAUCAGGGAGUUUUGCGACAGAGGCUAUGGACAUCACAUACCCUACACCAAAGUCAAGGGCAGAACAAAAACAGGCUCUCCGAAUAUAGAUUCCCUUGUUCAUGCAUGGUUCAGACGAACCAGUCAUCAGCAGUAUCUGCAGUGCCUCUAUUCAAAGGACUCUCUCCUAACACACACGCCAUACGUUGCUGCUCCUAUUAUUAUUAUUUUUUUAUCCUGCUGCUCAGCCACUUUACCCCUGAUUGUAUGCAUAUAACCACCUCGUCUAUCACUGAUAUCGUUAUUGAUCUUGUUCUUGUACAUACUGUAUUUUAUUUUGACACUAUAUUUCUGAUAUUGCUACUAUGCAAGUAACCAUUUGUCUGUACCGUUUGCACCUUCUGUAGAGACCCAUCCACUUAGCAAGACUUAGCAAAAUAUUGAUAUUUAAAAGUAAUAUUGAUAUGUGUGGUCGUAACAUGAUUUUGUUACAUACCACAACAAUAUCAUGUGACUGUAUCAAGUGUCCACCACAUAAAUAUAUGGCGCAUGCAUCUGUUUAUGUACUGUACAUAUGCACCUCACUCAAGUUUCAACUCAGGCUGCACAGCCUUACCUUGUGUAUGGAAUACUAUGUGAUAGGUGCGUGUGUAACAGUAUAUAAACUAUGCUAAUGUACUGGUGUGAAGGCAUUUGGGCAGUGGUCAAAAGUAAUUUAAGUAAUACUUUAAAGUACUACAAGUAUGUUUUGGGGGUAUCUGUACAUUACUUUGCUAUUGAUAUGUUUGACAACCUUUACUUCACUACAUUCUGAAAGAAAUGUACUUUUUACUCCAUACAUUUUCCCUGAUACCUGAAAGUAAAUUUUGACAUUAAAAUUGUCCAAUUCACACACUUAUCAAGAGAACAUCCAUACUGCAUCUGGCAGACUCACUAAACACACAUGCUUCGUUUGUAAAUUUUGUCUGAGUGUUGGAUUGUGCCCCUGGCUAUCCUAAAAAAAAUUAAAGAGAAUAAUUGUGCCGUCUGGUUUAAUAUAAGAAAUUUGAAAUGAUUUAUACUUUUACUCAAGUAUGACAAUUAAGUACUUUUUCCACCACUGGAUGUGGCUGGGGGUAUAGCAUUUCUUUAACAUGACCCAUCAGUUUAGACAAGUGUCUCUGGGUAAGUAUCAUCUAAUAUUUAUAAAAUAUUUUUAUCUGGAUACAUUCGGUUUACCUGAAAUUUUUCCUUGUUGUAGGCUACUACCACUUUUAAUCUUAAUUCUUUACUACACUACUCACUGUUUAGCACAUGACCCCAUGUGAAUCCUUAAAGAGAAGGGCUGGCUUAAGAGGGUGUGAACAAUGCUGAAUGGGCGUAGACAAAGGAGAGCUCUGCAGUAGUCACCAAAACAUUCAAAGGCCCUUUUUAAUCAAAAGUGAGUUUACAAGUGUAUCACCCCUCAAAGCAGAAUUACUUUCCCAUUGUUCCUCAAAAAUGCUGUGUAUGAUAUACCAUUUUGUAGCUCUGAGUCUCUACUUUUAUCCAAUGUUAAAAAUAAAAAUGUUACAUUUUGCUA